UGAAAUUUUUGUUUCUUAUUAAUAGGACUGGAUCCCUCCCAAUUCAGAGUCCAUCACCAUUACCAUAAAGAUGAGGAGAAUGAUGCCUUGGUUGGUGGCCCAGCUCAGCUCACUGAUGAGGAGAAAUAUAGGGACUGUGAAAGAUUCAAGUUUUGCUGCCUCAAAUGUGGAACAGAGAAUAUUUAUGACAAUGUCUUUGACUGUUCGGGGCGAUUUAUUGAGCCCAGCUUGCAAAGGUGCAGUAAGAGUGAAUGUGAAGAGCCUCCUUUCAACCACGUGGUUCAAAUGAACAACAAAUUACUCUUGGAUAUUAGACGCCACCUAAAAAGAUACUACAGUAAUUUUCUGCAGGAGAUGUAAGUUCCUGGGUAGUACCUGACUGUUUCAGCUAAAACAGGAGUAUUUUCAGCUGUGUGAGAUGGGCAGGUCUUCUCUAGAUACAGCUUCUGAAUGGUACUUAGUGCUGUGAUACUACAAAGAAAAUAUGACUGCAUAAUUUAAUCACUUGGACUAGGCCAGGGAUAAUUUUUCUUACUCAUUGGAUUU